CCUACGGGAGGCAGCAGUGAGGAAUAUUGGUCAAUGGGCGCGAGCCUGAACCAGCCAAGUAGCGUGAAUGAUGACUGCCCUACGGGUUUUAAACUUCUUUUAUAAAGGAAUAAAGUGAGGCACGUGUGCCUUUUGGCAUGUACUUUAUGAAUAAGGAUCGGCCAACUCCGGGCCAGCAGCCGCGGUAAUACGGAGUUUCCGAGCGUUAUCCGGAUUUAUUGGGUGUAAAGGGAGCGUAGAUGGGUUGGUAAGUCAGUUGUGAAAGUUUGGGGCUCAACCGUAAAAGUGCAAUUGAUGCUGGCAGUCUUGAGUGCAGUAGAGGUAGGUGGAAUUCGUGGUGUAGCGGUGAAAUGCGUAGAUAUCAGGAAGAACUCCGAUUGCGAAGGCAGCUUACUAAACUGCAACUGACAUUGAUGCUCGAAAGUGUGGGUAUCAAACAGGAUUAGAUACCCUGGUAGUC
rnacentral:rRNA from 1 species